rnacentral:lncRNA from 1 species
UGGUAUCAUCCCGUGGCCCAUCAUGGUCACCACUAUCACCAUGGCCCCAUCGCGAUCACCAUGUACUAUGAAAUGCAUGAGCAUCCUCUAACUCUUUUCACCAUAAGCAUUAAGUAAAUGCAACUAUUAAAAGAUUCCCCAUUUUUAAUACUCAUUUAACACUAAUGAUUUUUCAAACACAACACAGAGCAUACUCAAACAUAUUUAUUCACACCAAUUAAAAUUUCCACAACCACACAUAAAUCACAACUCCAAAUUCCAUUCACACCUAAAUUGAAUUAAAUUCAUUUUCCACCAAGUCACACAUAAAUUUCUUCUCAAAAAUUCAUAA